UUAAAUAUAACCAUGAUUAAGUUUUAAUAUACAAGUAAUCAAAUUUUCUUCUAUAAAGGUUUUGCUCACAUAUUUUCUCUUCUUUUGUCACUUAUUUUAUUGCUUGAAAAUUGUUAAGGUAAUAUUAUGUAUGUGCCAUUAUUGAGAAUAUACAUUAAAGAACAAAUGUGGAAAAUUAAAAAGCUCAUAUGCAUAGGUAUACUAAUAUUAUUAUAUCAUACAUACUACUAUUGUUUUCUGUACUAUUUUUACUUCCAUGCUGUGCAUUGCUAUCAUUUCAUACCUUGUAUGCUACUACCAGAAGUCUGAAGUUUCUGAAUCAUGUGCUAUGGUGAAGGAUAUGAAGUGAAAUUAGCUAGAAAGAAUUGAAAAAUUGUGAUAGAAUUUGAGCUCAUCCUUGAAGGAAAGACUCAGAAAAAUCAGCAUUCUUACUUUUUGCACAGCAGCAUAGUCAUGUAGGAGGUGAAUUUUAAAUCACAUCAGAGGUAAAGUAUAGAAUGCCUAUAUAACCCAAAGGCGAUGAAAAUCAAUAAAUAUGAAACAAAAAAGAUAAGCACAAUAUGAAAUCGAUAAAAUAUAACAAAAACUUCAUUUAAUUUUAUUGUGCUUGUAUAAAGGAGAUUGGAUCGCAUAAGUUGAAAAUGGAGAGAAAGAUAUUAUUGUUUGGAUGCAAAAUUCUCUUCUAUAGAAAUAUCAGACAGUUGCAGUUUCUCAUGCUCUGGCCAAAUUGGGGAUGUAAGCAAUCUUGAAUCUGAAACAGUCCUGAAUACUGAAGAAAUCUGGAAUGAAACCCAUAAUAUUCAGGAACACUAUUUCCAUGAUUCCAGUG